rnacentral:tRNA from 1 species
AAGGGUAUAGCUCAAUUGGUAGAGCUCGUGCUCAGCACCCAAGAGAUCCCGGGUUCAAUCCCCGGUACCUCCU